AGUCUGAAGACAGAGGAUCAUCCACAUCAUUCUUGACAGGAGAUUCCAGGAUCAGUCAUCAAAGUUACCCUAAUCUCAUGCCACACAGAAACACACAUUUUUGCACUGAGUAUCAUCUGAGAACUGUUCUAGGAAUGGGGGUAGACAGAAGCUGAGCCAGGAAAUGCUGACACCUAUCAUGAGAAGAGGAAUGAAAAGUAUUACCUUCAGUGACAAGCAAUUCUGAGAAAAAUAUGCAGACUAGAGCAAGAUCAAUGUUUGACAUGCUGAUUAUGAUUCAAGGUGUCUACUACAAGAAGGCAUCUUAGUAAAGAUAAUAAAUAAAAACGGAAAAGCUCCAAGUAAUUACUAAGAUCUCCUACUCCCUGCUUGAAAUGAUUUCAUCCAGUCUCAUCUAGGAGCACAAUCUCUCAGCUCACUUUUGAGAUCCUGAAUGUCCACCUUGGCCUCGUGCUUUUGUUUAUUAGGACACAAAGGGAUUUGUUGAGAGUAACAUCGGCCGAAUUUGGAUUUAUGAUUAAAGGUUAGUCAAAUCUAGAUCGGCGAGAUCUGCAGCAAAAAAGGAUGGUUUUAAAUUGACCUUGGAAAGUCUCCAUAGCAAAACAGCUAAUU